ensembl:lncRNA
CAAGGAACUUACUAAUGAAGACCUGAUGGAAUUGGAAGCCCAGAGAAAGGCUGAAGAGAGACAAGAGGAAGAAGUAACUGAAGAAUUGAAGAGAUUCAUGAUGCAGUGAAGGCAAAGGGAUUUUCUCCAUUUGAGGGGUCACCAUUAGCUUUUGAGGCACAAGGACCUGAAUAUGGUACAUGAAGUUUGCAGCAGCCAUUCAGAGUGCAAUCCAAGGCUACUGUGUCAUCUAUGACAAAAAAAAAAAAAGAGUUACUACCCAGACAUCACUGGAUCAUUUUUUCAAAAGAGUAGAUAGAACUGAAUCCAACAGGAACCAGAACCUGGGCCAUUAACAUCAGGAGGCAAGGGAUUGUUUGCAUGGAGUUGGGGGUGCCAAUGUUGCAGCUGCUGAACUGCCUCUUUGGCCUCUGAAGAGAAGGUAGUGGCAGGAAGAUGUGUGAAUGGGAAUCUCUCAGAUAUCUUCUGCACGUGGUCAGCAUGCCCCAUCUGCUUGAGGAGAGCGUGGGUUUCCUCAAGCCUGCUAAGGAAGUGAGAGAAGGCAUGACUCAAUAGAAGAAGACAAAGAACUCCUUCACAUGCAUCAUUUCCCUCAUGGAAAUGACAGUUUAGUAGAGAACAUGAGUCAUAUACAAAUGGAAAUGUAACAAAUAUCAGAAGUGACAGAAUAAACAGUAAAUAAGUG